GGUACGGGAGAGAGUUUUGCACCACGCGCCAUGGCGGACGACGGCAUGGAUCCCACCCAGUACUACCACAACAGGCUCGGCGCGCUCGCCGCGCAGAAGGCCGCCGGCGUCAACCCCUACCCGCACGCCUUCCAGCCCACCGCCUCCGUCGCCGACUACGUCCACAGGUACAGGGGCCUGGCCGAUGGGGAGAAGCUGGUCGACGUCACCGAGUCCCUGGCCGGGAGGAUCAUGAGCAAGAGGACGUCGUCCUCCAGCCUCCUCUUCUACUACCUCCACCGCGGCGGCGCCAAGGUCCAGGUCAUGGCAGACUCCGGGACCUCGGAGCUGGAGACUCCCGAGGAAUUCUCCGCUUUCCACUCUGGCGUGAAGCUUGGCGACGUGGUCGACGUGCGUGGGUUCCCUGGUAAAAGCAACCGAGGCGAGCUCAGCAUAUUCCCUACACAGUUUGUCGUGCUCUCGCCCUGCCUGCACAUGCUGCCGCGGCAGCCUAAUAGGCACCGGCGCGCGCCGCCGCUGCCGUGGGCGCCCGGCAUGCCCAGGAACAUGGAGAGCUACGCCCUCAAGGACCAGGAGACACGGUACCGCCGACGGUACCUCGAUCUCAUGGUGAACCCUGAGGUGAGGUCCGUCUUCACGGCGCGAGCCAGAGUCGUCUCCUUCAUCCGGAGCUUCCUUGACAAGCGUGGGUUUUUGGAGGUGGACACCCCGAUGAUGAACGUGGUUGCCGGUGGCGCCGCCGCCAGGCCGUUCGUCACGCACCACAACGACCUGAACAUGAAGUUGUACAUGCGCAUCGCGCCAGAGCUCUACCUGAAGCAGCUCGUCAUCGGCGGACUGGACCGCGUGUACGAGAUCGGGAGGCAGUUCAGGAACGAAGGCAUCGACAUGACGCACAACCCCGAGUUCACGACGUGCGAGUUCUACAUGGCCUAUGCGGACUACAACGACCUGAUGGAGCUCACGGAGGAGAUGCUGGGCGGCAUGGUGAAGGAGCUCACGGGCGGCUACAAGGUACAGUACCACGCCAACGGCGCCGACAAGCCGCCUAUCGAGAUCGAUUUUACUCCUCCGUUCGCGCGGAUCAACAUGAUCAAGGGACUGGAGGACAUGGCCGAUCUCAACAUACCGGAGGAGGAUCUGUCGACCGAUGAUGCCAACGAGUACUUGAUGGAGGCUUGUGCCAGGUACGACAUUACGUGCCCGCUUCCACACACGACGGCACGGCUGCUGGACACGGAGACAUGCGUGAACCCGACGUUCAUCAUCAACCAUCCGGUGAUCAUGAGCCCACUCGCAAAGUCACACAGGGACGAAGCCCGGCCUGGACUGACUGAAAGGUUUGAGCUGAUCAACAAGCAUGAGGUGUGCAACGCCUACACGGAGCUGAAUGACCCGGUCGUGCAGAGGGAGCGGUUUGAGGAGCAGCUCAGGGAUCGUCAGGACGGUGACGAUGAAGCGAUGGCCAUGGACGAAACCUUCUGCACUGCCCUUGAGUAUGGCCUGCCGCCGACCGGAGGCUGGGGUCUGGGGAUUGAUCGCCUCACCAUGUUGCUGACGGAUUCCCAGAACAUAAAGGAGGUCCUCCUGUUCCCGGCCAUGAAGCCUCAAGACAGCUAG
rnacentral:rRNA from 1 species